rnacentral:rRNA from 1 species
GGAAUCUUGCACAAUGGGCGAAAGCCUGAUGCAGCGACGCCGCGUGGGGGAUGAAGGCCUUCGGGUUGUAAACCCCUUUCAGUAGGGCCGAAAAUGACGGUACCUACAGAAGAAGCUCCGGCCAACUACGUGCCAGCAGCCGCGGUAACCCGUAGGGAGCAAGCGUUGUCCGGGUUUAUUGGGCGUAAAGAGCUCGUAGGUGGUUCCGUAAGUCGGAUGUGAAAACUCAAGGCUCAACCUUGAGACGCCAUCCGAUACUGCGGUGACUUGAGUUCGGUAGAGGAGUGUGGAAUUCCUGGUGUAGCGGUGAAAUGCGCAGAUAUCAGGAGGAACACCGACAGCGAAGGCAGCACUCUGGGCCGAUACUGACACUGAGGAGCGAAAGCAUGGGGAGCAAAC